rnacentral:rRNA from 1 species
CGCGUAGGCGGAUCGUUAAGUCAGAGGUGAAAUCCCAGGGCUCAACCCUGGAAUUGCCCUUGAUACUGGCGAUCUUGAGUAUGAGAGAGGUAUGUGGAACUCCGAGUGUAGAGGUGAAAUUCGUAGAUAUUCGGAAGAACACCAGUGGCGAAGGCGACAUACUGGCUCAUUACUGACGCUGAGGCGCGAAAGCGUGGGAGCAAACA